UACAGAGGUGGCAAGCGUUGUUCGGAAUUACUGGGCGUAAAGCGUGCGUAGGUGGUUUGUUAAGUCUGAUGUGAAAGCCCUGGGCUCAACCUGGGAACUGCAUUGGAAACUGGCUUACUAGAGUGCGGUAGAGGGGUGUGGAAUUCCCGGUGUAGCAGUGAAAUGCGUAGAUAUCGGGAGGAACAUCUGUGGCGAAGGCGACACCCUGGACCAGCACUGACACUGAGGCACGAAAGCGUGGGGAGCAAACAGG
rnacentral:rRNA from 1 species